rnacentral:rRNA from 1 species
GACAAACGCUGGCGGAAUGUAUUAGGCAUGCAAGUCGUACGAACCUUCGGGUUAGUGGCGAACGGGUGAGUAACACGUGGGUAACCUGCCUCAUAGUGGGGAAUAACUCGCCGAAAGGCGAGCUAAUACCGCAUAACACCCUCGGUGAGAAUCCGAGUGGUAAAAGCUCCGGCGCUAUGAGAGGGGCCCGCGGCCGAUUAGCUAGUUGGUGGGGUAACGGCCUACCAAGGCGACGAUCGGUAGCUGGUCUGAGAGGAUGGUCAGCCACACGGGGACUGAGAUACGGCCCCGACUCCUACGGGAGGCAGCAGCUAAGAAUCUUGCGCAAUGGGCGAAAGCCUGACGCAGCAAUUCCGCGUGGGGGACGAAGGCCCUCGGGUCGUAAACCCCUUUUGUGAGGGAAGAAGUUCUGACGGUACCUCACGAAUAAGACACGGCUAACUACGUG